rnacentral:rRNA from 1 species
GGGUUGUGAGGUUAAGCGACUAAGCGUACACGGUGGAUGCCCUGGCAGUCAGAGGCGAUGAAGGACGUGCUAAUCUGCGAUAAGCGUCGGUAAGGUGAUAUGAACCGUUAUAACCGGCGAUUUCCGAAUGGGGAAACCCAGUGUGAUUCGUCACACUAUCAUUAACUGAAUCCAUAGGUUAAUGAGGCGAACCGGGGGAACUGAAACAUCUAAGUACCCCGAGGAAAAGAAAUCAACCGAGAUUCCCCCAGUAGCGGCGAGCGAACGGGGAGGAGCCCAGAGCCUGAAUCAGUGUGUGUGUUAGUGGAAGCGUCUGGAAAGGCGCGCGAUACAGGGUGACAGCCCCGUACACAAAAAUGCACAUACUGUGAGCUCGAUGAGUAGGGCGGGACACGUGGUAUCCUGUCUGAAUAUGGGGGGACCAUCCUCCAAGGCUAAAUACUCCUGACUGACCGAUAGUGAACCAGUACCGUGAGGGAAAGGCGAAAAGAACCCCGGCGAGGGGAGUGAAAAAGAACCUGAAACCGUGUACGUACAAGCAGUGGGAGCACUCUUUAUGGGGUGACUGCGUACCUUUUGUAUAAUGGGUCAGCGACUUAUAUUCUGUAGCAAGGUUAACCGAAUAGGGGAGCCGAAGGGAAACCGAGUCUUAACUGGGCGUUAAGUUGCAGGGUAUAGACCCGAAACCCGGUGAUCUAGCCAUGGGCAGGUUGAAGGUUGGGUAACACUAACUGGAGGACCGAACCGACUAAUGUUGAAAAAUUAGCGGAUGACUUGUGGCUGGGGGUGAAAGGCCAAUCAAACCGGGAGAUAGCUGGUUCUCCCCGAAAGCUAUUUAGGUAGCGCCUCGUGAAUUCAUCUCCGGGGGUAGAGCACUGUUUCGGCAAGGGGGUCAUCCCGACUUACCAACCCGAUGCAAACUGCGAAUACCGGAGAAUGUUAUCACGGGAGACACACGGCGGGUGCUAACGUCCGUCGUGAAGAGGGAAACAACCCAGACCGCCAGCUAAGGUCCCAAAGUCAUGGUUAAGUGGGAAACGAUGUGGGAAGGCCCAGACAGCCAGGAUGUUGGCUUAGAAGCAGCCAUCAUUUAAAGAAAGCGUAAUAGCUCACUGGUCGAGUCGGCCUGCGCGGAAGAUGUAACGGGGCUAAACCAUGCACCGAAGCUGCGGCAGCGACACUAUGUGUUGUUGGGUAGGGGAGCGUUCUGUAAGCCUGUGAAGGUGUACUGUGAGGUAUGCUGGAGGUAUCAGAAGUGCGAAUGCUGACAUAAGUAACGAUAAAGCGGGUGAAAAGCCCGCUCGCCGGAAGACCAAGGGUUCCUGUCCAACGUUAAUCGGGGCAGGGUGAGUCGACCCCUAAGGCGAGGCCGAAAGGCGUAGUCGAUGGGAAACAGGUUAAUAUUCCUGUACUUGGUGUUACUGCGAAGGGGGGACGGAGAAGGCUAUGUUGGCCGGGCGACGGUUGUCCCGGUUUAAGCGUGUAGGCUGAUUUUCCAGGCAAAUCCGGAAAAUCAAGGCUGAGGCGUGAUGACGAGGCACUACGGUGCUGAAGCAACAAAUGCCCUGCUUCCAGGAAAAGCCUCUAAGCAUCAGGUAACAUCAAAUCGUACCCCAAACCGACACAGGUGGUCAGGUAGAGAAUACCAAGGCGCUUGAGAGAACUCGGGUGAAGGAACUAGGCAAAAUGGUGCCGUAACUUCGGGAGAAGGCACGCUGAUAUGUAGGUGAAGCGACUUGCUCGUGGAGCUGAAAUCAGUCGAAGAUACCAGCUGGCUGCAACUGUUUAUUAAAAACACAGCACUGUGCAAACACGAAAGUGGACGUAUACGGUGUGACGCCUGCCCGGUGCCGGAAGGUUAAUUGAUGGGGUUAGCGGUAACGCGAAGCUCUUGAUCGAAGCCCCGGUAAACGGCGGCCGUAACUAUAACGGUCCUAAGGUAGCGAAAUUCCUUGUCGGGUAAGUUCCGACCUGCACGAAUGGCGUAAUGAUGGCCAGGCUGUCUCCACCCGAGACUCAGUGAAAUUGAACUCGCUGUGAAGAUGCAGUGUACCCGCGGCAAGACGGAAAGACCCCGUGAACCUUUACUAUAGCUUGACACUGAACAUUGAGCCUUGAUGUGUAGGAUAGGUGGGAGGCUUUGAAGUGUGGACGCCAGUCUGCAUGGAGCCGACCUUGAAAUACCACCCUUUAAUGUUUGAUGUUCUAACGUUGGCCCGUGAUCCGGGUUGCGGACAGUGUCUGGUGGGUAGUUUGACUGGGGCGGUCUCCUCCUAAAGAGUAACGGAGGAGCACGAAGGUUGGCUAAUCCUGGUCGGACAUCAGGAGGUUAGUGCAAUGGCAUAAGCCAGCUUGACUGCGAGCGUGACGGCGCGAGCAGGUGCGAAAGCAGGUCAUAGUGAUCCGGUGGUUCUGAAUGGAAGGGCCAUCGCUCAACGGAUAAAAGGUACUCCGGGGAUAACAGGCUGAUACCGCCCAAGAGUUCAUAUCGACGGCGGUGUUUGGCACCUCGAUGUCGGCUCAUCACAUCCUGGGGCUGAAGUAGGUCCCAAGGGUAUGGCUGUUCGCCAUUUAAAGUGGUACGCGAGCUGGGUUUAGAACGUCGUGAGACAGUUCGGUCCCUAUCUGCCGUGGGCGCUGGAGAACUGAGGGGGGCUGCUCCUAGUACGAGAGGACCGGAGUGGACGCAUCACUGGUGUUCGGGUUGUCAUGCCAAUGGCACUGCCCGGUAGCUAAAUGCGGAAGAGAUAAGUGCUGAAAGCAUCUAAGCACGAAACUUGCCCCGAGAUGAGUUCUCCCUGACUCCCUGAGAGUCCUGAAGGAACGUUGAAGACGACGACGUUGAUAGGCCGGGUGUGUAAGCGCAGCGAUGCGUUGAGCUAACCGGUACUAAUGAACCGUGAGGCUUAACCUUACAACGCCGAAG